rnacentral:SRP_RNA from 1 species
CCGUGCUAGACGGGGAGGUAGCGGUGCCCUGUAACCCGCAAUCCGCUAUAGCGGGGUUGAAUCCCCGCCUGAGGCCGUCUUCCUGUGGGGCCUGGCCGCCGUAAGUGGUGACGAGGACUGGGUCCUGCGCAACGGAAACCCGCGAACCCCGUCAGGCCCGGGAGGGAGCAGCGGUAAGUGGGCACUUCCGUGUGCCGCGGGGCUACCUGGUAGGAGCUGGCUGCGGCGAUACCGCCCGGAGGGAGCGGUCGAGGGUGGGUGCACGG